CAGUCGCCGCGGGAAUACGUAGGUGGCAAGCGUUGUCCGGAAUUAUUGGGCGUAAAGGGCUCGCAGGCGGUUUCUUAAGUCUGAUGUGAAAGCCCCCGGCUCGACCGGGGAGGGUCAUUGGAAACUGGGAAACUUGAGUGCAGAAGAGGAGAGUGGAAUUCCACGUGUAGCGGUGAAAUGCGUAGAGAUGUGGGGGAACACCAGUGGCGAAGGCGACUCUUUGGUCUGUAACUGACGCUGAGGAGCGAAAGCGUGGGGAGCGAACAGGAUUAGAUACCCGCGUAGUCCCUGUCUCUUAUAC
rnacentral:rRNA from 1 species